rnacentral:rRNA from 1 species
GAUGAACGCUGGCGGCGUGCCUAAUACAUGCAAGUCGGACGCAUUGAGAGAAAUGCUUGCACUUUUCAAUUUGAGUGGCGAACGGGUGAGUAACACGUGGGCAACCUACCUGAUAGCGGGGGAUAACGAGUGGAAACAUUCGCUAAUACCGCAUAACAAUAGAGAAGGCAUCUUCUUUAUUUAAAAGGCGCUUUCAAGCGUCACUAUCAGAUGGGCCCGCGGUGAAUUAGUUAGUUGGUGGGGUGAAGGCAUACCAAGACGAUGAUGCAUAGCCGAGUUGAGAGACUGAUCGGCCACAUUGGGACUGAGACACGGCCCAAACUCCUACGGGAGGCUGCAGUAGGGAAUCUUCCACAAUGGACGAAAGUCUGAUGGAGCAACGCCGCGUGUGUGAUGAAGGCUUUCGGGUCGUAAAGCACUGUUGUAUGGGAAGAAAUGCUAGGCUAGGAAAUGAGCUUAGUUUGACGGUACCAUACCAGAAAGGGACGGCUAAAUACGUGCCAGCCGCCGCGGUAA